rnacentral:rRNA from 1 species
AGAGUUUGAUCCUGGCUCAGAAUGAACGCUGGCGGCAGGCCUAACACAUGCAAGUCGAACGGAAUUAUAUUGUAGCUUGCUACGGUAUAAUUUAGUGGCAGACGGGUGAGUAAUGUAUAGGAAUCUACCUAGUAGUACGGAAUAAUUGUUGGAAACGGCAACUAAUACCGUAUACGCCCCACGGGGGAAAAAUUUAUUGCUAUUAGAUGAGCCUAUAUUAGAUUAGCUUGUUGGUAGGGUAAUAGCUUACCAAGGCAAUGAUCUAUAGCUGAUCUGAGAGGAUGAUCAGCCACACUGGAACUGAGAUACGGUCCAGACUCCUACGGGAGGCAGCAGUGGGGAAUAUUGGACAAUGGGCGAAAGCCUGAUCCAGCUAUGCCGCAUGAGUGAAGAAGGCCUUUGGGUUGUAAAGCUCUUUUAGUGAGGAAGAUAAUGACGGUACUCACAGAAGAAGUCCUGGCUAACUCCGUGCCAGCAGCCGCGGUAAUACGGAGGAUCCAAGCGUUAUCCGGAAUCAUUGGGUUUAAAGGGUCCGUAGGCGGACUAGUAAGUCAGUGGUGAAAUCUUUCAGCUUAACUGAGAAAUUGCCAUUGAUACUGCAAGUCUUGAAUAAUUAGGAAGUAACUAGAAUAUGUAGUGUAGCGGUGAAAUGCUUAGAGAUUACAUGGAAUACCAAUUGCGAAGGCAGGUUACUACUAAUUCAUUGACGCUGAUGGACGAAAGCGUGGGUAGCGAACAGGAUUAGAUACCCUGGUAGUCCACGCCGUAAACGAUGGAUACUAGCUGUUGGUAGCAAUAUCAGUGGCUAAGCGAAAGUGAUAAGUAUCCCACCUGGGGAGUACGAACGCAAGUUUGAAACUCAAAGGAAUUGACGGGGGCCCGCACAAGCGGUGGAGCAUGUGGUUUAAUUCGAUGAUACGCGAGGAACCUUACCAAGGCUUAAAUGUAGUUUGACCGUUUUGGAAACAAGACUUUCGCAAGACAAAUUACAAGGUGCUGCAUGGUUGUCGUCAGCUCGUGCCGUGAGGUGUCAGGUUAAGUCCUAUAACGAGCGCAACCCCUGUUGUUAGUUGCCAGCGAGUCAAGUCGGGAACUCUAACAAGACUGCCAGUGUAAACUGUGAGGAAGGUGGGGAUGACGUCA